ACUGCUAGGCGGAAAUAGCCCUUGUCCUGCACGAUCCAGCGCAGGGAAAGGGAGAGCACCGGAGUAUGAAACGCUCCCAUGCUCAUGUCAGAGUGGGUGAAAAUGAGGAUAUGUCCGAAUUCAGCUCUGAACUCGGACAACCCUUUUAAGGGCUAUUCCAGGGUUUAACCUAUUCUUAGGAAAGGUGGGGGUCUGACAGCCGCAAUCCCUGCUGAUCAGCUGUUUCAGGGUAGCUACAUAGCUUUUUCGGGGUAACAACACGGCUCUAUCCAUUUUAUAGUGGACAGAGCUUGUUACUGCAGUGCUGCUCCCAUUCACUUCAGUGGGAGCAGCGCUAUAGUUAGCCAUCCCAGAGAUAGGCCAUCAAUAGUAAAAUCCUGUAAAAACCCUAAGGUGUAAUCUUGCCGUAAUUAUGCACUUCAUGGGCACAUCCACAUGUAACUUGCAAAUCAUACAGAUUUUGGUGUGAAUUUGAUGUG